CGUAGGUGGCGAGCGUUGUCCGGAAUUACUGGGUGUAAAGGGCGUGUAGCGGGGAAGCAAGUCAGAUGUGAAAUCCCAUGGCUUAACUGUGGGGCUGCAUCUGAAACUGCAUCUCUUGAGUACUGGAGAGGAAAGCGGAAUUCCUAGUGUAGCGGUGAAAUGCGUAGAUAUUAGGAGGAACACCAGUGGCGAAGGCGGCUUUCUGGACAGAAACUGACGCUGAGGCGCGAAAGCGUGGGGAGCAAACAGGAUUAGAUACCCUGGUAGUCCACGCUGUAAACGAUGGAUACUAGGUGUAGGAGGUAUCGACCCCUUCUGUGCCGCAGUUAACACAAUAAGUAUCCCACCUGGGGAGUACGGCCGCAAGGUUG
rnacentral:rRNA from 1 species